GCGGGCCGUGAGAGCGGGAGCCCGGAGAUGGGCACUGAGACAAGGGCCCAGGCCCUACGGGGCGCAGCAGUCGCGAAAACUUUGCAAUAAGCGAAAGCUUGACAGGGCUAUCCCGAGUGCCAUCCGCUGAGGAAGGCUUUUACCCAGUCUAGAACGCUGGGGGAAUAAGGAGAGGGCAAGUCUGGUGUCAGCCGCCGCGGUGAUACCAGCUCUCCGAGUGGUGUGGAUGUUUAUUGGGCCUAAAGCAUCCGUAGCUGGCUAGGUCAGUCCCUUGUUAAAUCCACCGAAUUAAUCGUUGGAUUGCGGGGGAUACUGCUUGGCUAGGGGACGAGAGAGGCAGACGGUAUUUUCGGGGUAGGGGUGAAAUCCUAU
rnacentral:rRNA from 1 species